CUUCGUCACAUCCGUUCCAUCCAAGCAGUGUGGAAGAGGAAGUGAGAUUUGGCAGAUUACUGGUUCCGGUUCAAUCUUCUGAACCAACCGCGAAACCUUCGCCAAUCGAUGAUAUCCGUAAUGGAUUGUCUUCUUAUUCUCGCAGUCGGGGCAUCUCUGCCGGUUGAGGGCACCGGCCUUCCUCCGGUGGAGCUCUGCCUUGUUCUGACACCAACAACAAGCACUGAUUACCUGCGUUGCGUUUGCGUGACGCAUUCACAGAUCCGACAGAGUAUUGAUUCCGUACAAGGGAUCUUCAUCCCUUAAAUAGCCGCGUAUUCAAACUAGCCGAUCAUACGCUCCUUGCCUUCGUCACAUCCGUUCCAUCCAAGCAGUGUGGAAGAGGAAGUGAGAUUUGGCAGAUUACUGGUUCCGGUUCAAUCUUCUGAACCAACCGUGAAACCUUCGCCAAUCGAUGAUAUCCGUGAUGGAUUGUCUUCUUAUUCUCGCAGUCGGGGCACCUCUGCCGGUUGAGGGCACCGGCAUUCCUCCGGUGGAGCUCUGCCUCGUUCUGACACCAACAACAAGCACUGAUUACCUGCGUUGCGUUUAUGUGACGCAUUCACAGAUCCGACAGAGUUUAGAUUUCGUCAGUCAGUGAUCUGUCUGGCCCUCAUCGACUCUGCCUUGUUGAUCAUCACUGAUUAUAGCCCACACAAAAAUCGACCCUUGGACUUGUUUGGAAUAAUAUUCCCUGUUGAAUAUCAUAGUCGAUGGAUUAAUUCUAUCGGUGUUGCAGUUUUGACCUAAACAAACGGCCCUUUUCAGGGCCACCAAUAUGUUAAAGAGUUGACGAAUAAAUAUAUUCCCUAGCAAAUAAAUAAUAAACCCGAAACUGCUGCACAAUAUCGUACCCUAAAUGUUACAAAUACGUAAUUAGAAAUUAGAAAUGUUGAGAUAGCAAACAGUUAAAACAUAACCGUUUCUCAUUGAGAUUUUUACCGCAGAGAAUAUCUUAAAUCACAAGUUCACGAGCUUCAUAUAUGUUGGAGAACAUUUUCAGUAAUUUGUUUUGACAUACCGAACUAAGAAAGAAAGGGAAUAUAUAAUUGGAAAGUUAUUUAUCAAAGAAUGUAACACUAUCAGAAAACGUAUUUCACCAGUGGUUAGUAUGCAACUAUUUUAAUAUUUGACUCAAAAGCUCCAAAACAUCAAAGUGUCCGACAUCCACUGUUUCCAUUCUUAAAUGGCUCCCCGCAGCAGCUUUAUAUUUUUGCAUGCCAAUAACACAAAACAUCGUAGUCCUACGUCACCAGUUCGUACAACCCCAUAGGGCUGUACCCUUAUA